CCGUGUACCGGUACAAGGAGGCAGAAUUUGCACAGUUCGAACUGCAGGGGUGUUUUUGCGUUUGUGGGUCUCUUAUAUCAGCACCCACGUCUCUAGGGCCUUUCUUUGAGCUCUCCACUGCAGGGAAAAAGGUAGGGCACCUCUCCCCUUCAACCCUUUUGGAUUUGAUCCCAUUUUAGCUUGGAUUUUGAUGGUUUUUCCCUCUCUUUUGUCUCUUGGAGCCAUUUCCACCAUUUUUGAAGCUUGGAGCUUGGGUUUGGAGUUUGAUUGAGGGAAGAUACUUGAAGUUUGAGAACUUUGAGCUGAGUUUGAGGCUUCU
rnacentral:lncRNA from 1 species